ACUCCUACGGGAGGCAGCAGUCGAGAAUUUUUCACAAUGGGGGAAACCCUGAUGGAGCGACUCCGCGUGGGGGAUGAAUGGCUUCGGCCCGUAAACCCCUGUCAUUCGGGAUCAAUGCGUAUCAUUUAAAAGAUGAUGCGUUGAUAGUACCGGAAGAGGAAGGGACGGCUAACUCUGUGCCAGCAGCCGCGGUAAU
rnacentral:rRNA from 1 species